rnacentral:rRNA from 1 species
AUUGAACGCUGGCGGCAGGCCUAACACAUGCAAGUCGAACGAGUGGCGGACGGGUGUGUAAUGUCUGGGAAACCGCCCGAUGGAGGGGGAUAACCACUGGAAACGGUAUCUAAUCCCGUAUACUAUCGGAUGUGCCCAGAUGGGUUUCGCUAGUAGGUGGGGUAACGGCUCACCUAGGCGACUAUCCCUAGCUGGUCUGAGAGGAUGACCAGCCACACUGGAACUGAGACACGGUCCAGACUCCUACGGGAGGCAGCAGUGGGGAAUAUUGCACAAUGGGCGCAAGCCUGAUGCAGCCAUGCCGCGUGUAUGAAGAAGGCCUUCGGGUUGUAAAGUACUUUCAGCGGGGAGGCGUUACCCGCAGAAGAAGCACCGGCUAACUCCGUGCCAGCAGCCGCGGUAAUUC